CCAGACUCCUACGGGAGGCAGCAGUGAGGAAUAUUGGUCAAUGGCCGAGAGGCUGAACCAGCCAAGUCGCGUGAGGGAUGACGGCCCUACGGGUUGUAAACCUCUUUUGCCGGGGAGCAAAGAGCGGGACGCGUCCCGCCUCGAGAGUACCCGGAGAAAAAGCAUCGGCUAACUCCGUGCCAGCAGCCGCGGUAAUACGGAGGAUGCGAGCGUUAUCCGGAUUUAUUGGGUUUAAAGGGUGCGCAGGCGGAAGCGCAAGUCAGCGGUAAAUUGGGGGGCCUCAACCUCUCCCCGCCGUUGAAACUGCGUUUCUUGAGUGGGCGAGAAGUACGCGGAAUGCGUGGUGUAGCGGUGAAAUGCAUAGAUAUCACGCAGAACUCCGAUUGCGAAGGCAGCUUACUAAACUGCCACUGACAUUGAUGCUCGAAAGUGUGGGUAUCAAACAGGAUUAGAUACCCGUGUA
rnacentral:rRNA from 1 species